rnacentral:rRNA from 1 species
AGUGAACGCUGGCGGUAGGCCUAACACAUGCAAGUCGAACGGCAGCACAGUAAGAGCUUGCUCUUACGGGUGGCGAGUGGCGGAUGGGUGCUGAAUACCUCGGAGUCUACUUUUUCGUAGGUGCUAACGUAGGGGCACUUACGCUAAUACCGCAUACGAACUACGGGUGAAAGCAUCGGACCUUCGGACCUCGCGCGAUUGUAUGAGGCGAUGUCGGAUUAGCUAGUUGGCGGGGUAAAGGCCCACCAAGGCGACGAUCCGUAGCUGGUCUGAGAGGAUGAUCAGCCACACUGGAACUGAGACACGGUCCAGACUCCUACGGGAGGCAGCAGUGGGGAAUAUUGGACAAUGGGCGAAAGCCUGAUCCAGCCAUACCGCGUGGGUGAAGAAGGCCUUCGGGUUGUAAAGCCCUUUUGUUGGGAAAGAAAAGCAGCAGGUUAAUACCCCGCUGUUCUGACGGUACCCAAAGAAUAAGCACCGGCUAACUUCGUG